GGACGCGUGCCGGCCAUCCCCGAUUCCCCAUAGAGCAUAAAAAGGAUCCCCGCGACCCCUGGAACCCUAAUCCCUUGCCCUCGCUCUGUCACUCCCUCUCCCUCGUGUUACCGAGCUCGAGCCGCACCGGAGUCGCCGCGCUGCCGACGUCCGCACGCUCCGGCACCUCGCCGAGAUGCGUCUGGUCGUCCAGAAGCUCCGUGGGAUCCCCUUCUUCCUCUACGGCGCAAGAUCGAUACCAGGGAGCGCCCACGACGCCUCCCGUACUGUUCCCCUCGCCAGGAUCUGCCUUGGCCGCCGCCUCGUCGCGCUCGACUCCGGCGAGCCCCGUCCGCCCUGAGCUCGCCAUCCACCUCCUCGUGGUGAACCUCCUUCGAUCCCUCACGUUUUUCCCUCUGCCUCCCCUCACCGUGUACGUCGUGCGUGGUCGCCGCCCGAGCCUGCUGCUGCUGUCCGCUGUUGUCGUGCCCACAUCCGGCCGAGCCGUCCGCGCGCUCGCCUCCGCCCGGCCACGCCCCUGCUCUUGCUAGCUAGUGCUGCUGCUCACUGUUAUUUUGCUGCUUGCUUGCCUCCGCUAGCUACUGCCACUGCUAUUGCUACUUUGCAGCUGCUGCUCUGCUUAUUGCUUCUUGCCGUUGCUGCUUUGCUCGGCUGCUAACCCUCUACGCUACAGCUGCUUACUACGGCC
rnacentral:lncRNA from 1 species